rnacentral:misc_RNA from 1 species
UGUGAGUCGAUAACUGUUUACACCUGUAGCAGCCACCUGGUAUUAUUUUGAUAGAAAAAUGGCAGGGCCAAGUGAACUUUCGAAAGAAGCGAUAAAAAGUUUUAUGCUAGAUCAUGGUGGUAAAGUAACAAAUCAUGAACUCGUAAAAUAUUUUAAACCAUUUCUGACCGAUCCGGAAACAAGAGUUGAAGCACGAAACUUAUUCAAAGAAUACGUAAAUGACCUUGCCACUAUGCGCAAUGAGGAUGGGGAGAAGUACCUGAUCCUGAAGAAGAAACACCGUAUCCCCGGAGCGGUGAGUCCUGGGGGCUACGCCUCUCCCUCGCCAUCUCCGUCGCCUUCUCCGUCCGUGGAGUCGAUGGUGAGCAGUCCCGGCGGCUUGCAGUACGUGUCCAGCGAGUCCCUGGUCUCGCCGUCUCGCCAGCCGCCGCCGUACCGGCCUCCGCCGACGCUGGGCGCCAGCCCCCAGCCGCCGUCUCCACAAUACCGCGAACCGCCCCCUCCGGCUGCUCCGCCGCAGUUACAGGGUGGCGGCGAACCCGCUGCACCCGAGCCCACGCCCCCGGUGCCCCCGCGCCGGAAGAGCAGCGACAGGAUCAGAACCGAGAACAAGGAGAACAUCGACGUCACCAAGCGCCCAAAGGCUGCGGGAGCUGAACCAGCUGGCAAGGAGGACGCUGGCGAUCCUCCGGAACAGCUGAGCGUGAAGGAGCGCACUCAGGUUUUCAACAGGCUGGCCACCGAGGUGGACCUGCACAGGGCGCAGGCGCAGCCGGCCAAGAAGAAGCCCGAGCGGGGUGGAGCAGAAGACGAGGACUCCGUGUCCCUCACAUCGGAACCAAAGGCACGAGAGUGGCUGGUGGCAGCGGCACAGGGCAACCACAUGAAGCUGGCCAAGCUAGCACAGGAAAACCCGCGCCUCGCGUCGCUCAGGGAUCCAACGAUGGGCGAUACGGCGCUGCACUGGGGCGCCAAGCACGGAAACGCGCACAUCGUCAAGAUGAUGGCCGGUACUUAUCACGCCGACGUCAACGCCAGAUCCAAUGGGGGCUACACUCCUCUACACCUAGCAACACAGUUUGGUUAUGAAGAAAUAGCAAACCUUCUGGUGAAUGCUUAUGGUGCUGACCAGAAUCUACGUGACUACAGUGGGCGAAAAGCUCGCCAGUAUCAGGCAAGCCAGGACACAAGUGUGUCAGCUGACACAUUCCGCAGAAUCAAGGCUGCUGCUACAAUGAGAAAUCAAAGCAAGGAAAAAACAGGCAGAAAAGGACUUAGGAUUCUUGAGAAUUGGUUCACUGAAUGUGAGAGUGAAGAAAACAACUGAAGCAUUCAGCAACUUCUUAGGUGUAGGAAUAAACAGUGACAAAAUACAUAAAACUUGGGGCUCAGCCGAUAAUAUACAGCAGAGGUGCUGAAGGAAGACAGGUUGACCGUCGCCGAAUGCCACCACCAAAGGCAGCACCAUUGAAGAAACGUCGCUCUCGACACGGUGCUGCUGACUUUACUGGUAGCUACAGCACACCAAGUACACCUCCAAGUCAGUCUCGCACUGCAAACAGUG